AUUGAACGCUGGCGGGAGGCCUAACACAUGCAAGUCGAACGAGUGGCGGACGGGUGAGUAAUAUCUGGGAACCUGCCUAAUGGAGGGGGAUAACUACUGGAAACGGUAGCUAAUACCGCAUACCAUCAGAUCUGCCCAUAUGGGAUUAGCUAGUUGGUGGGGUAACGGCUCACCAAGGCGACGAUCCCUAGCUGGUCUGAGAGGAUGACCAGCCACACUGGAACUGAGACACGGUCCAGACUCCUACGGGAGGCAGCAGUGGGGAAGAUUGCACAAUGGGCGAAAGCCUGAUGCAGCCAUGCCGCGUGUAUGAUGAAGGCCUUCGGGUUGUAAAGUACUUUCAGCGGGGAGGCGUUACCCGCAGAAGAAGCACCGGCUAACUCCGUGCCAGCCGCCGCGGUAAUAC
rnacentral:rRNA from 1 species